rnacentral:rRNA from 1 species
UGUGAAGGAACUUUACGGAGGGAAAACACAAUGACUGAGAGGCGGACGGGUGAGUAACGCGUAGGGAACCUGGCCCUUACAGGGGGAUAACAGAUGGAAACAACUGCUAAUACCGCAUAAGCGCCCAGCCUCGCAUGAGGCAGAGUGAAAAACUAAGGUGGUAAGGGAUGGCCCUGCGUCCGAUUAGCUAGUUGGUAUGGUAACGGCAUACCAAGGCGACGAUCGGUAGCCGGCCUGAGAGGGUGGACGGCCACAUUGGGACUGAGACACGGCCCAAACUCCUACGGGAGGCAGCAGUGGGGGAUAUUGCACAAUGGGGGAAACCCUGAUGCAGCGACACCGCGUGGGUGAAGAAGCGCUUCGGCGUGUAAAGCCCUAUCAGUGGGGAAGAAAAAGGACGGUACCCAAAGAAGAAGCACCGGCUAAAUACGUGCCAGCAGCCGCGGUAAUACGUAUGGUGCAAGCGUUAUCCGGAAUGACUGGGUGUAAAGGGAGCGUAGACGGUUGUACAAGUCUGAUGUGAAAGCCCACGGCUCAACUGUGGGAGUGCAUUGGAAACUGUAGAACUAGAGUAUCGGAGAGGCAAGUGGAAUUCCUAGUGUAGCGGUGAAAUGCGUAGAUAUUAGGAGGAACACCAGUGGCGAAGGCGGCUUGCUGGACGAAAACUGACGUUGAGGCUCGAAAGCGUGGGGAGCAAACAGGAUUAGAUACCCUGGUAGUCCACGCUGUAAACGAUGAAUACUAGGUGUUGGGGCCCGAAGGGCGUCGGUGCCGUCGCAAACGCAGUAAGUAUUCCACCUGGGGAGUACGUUCGCAAGAAUGAAACUCAAA